CGGCACGGGUGAGUAAUACAUCGGAACGUGUCUUCUAGUGGGGGAUAACUGCCCGAAAGGGCAGCUAAUACCGCAUGAGACCUGAGGGUGAAAGCGGGGGAUCGUAAGACCUCGCGCUGGAAGAGCGGCCGAUGUCCGAUUAGCUAGUUGGUGAGGUAAAGGCCCACCAAGGCGACGAUCGGUAGCUGGUCUGAGAGGACGACCAGCCACACUGGGACUGAGACACGGCCCAG
rnacentral:rRNA from 1 species